AGCAGUAGCCGCGGUAAUACGAAGGGUGCAAGCGUUAAUCGGAAUUACUGGGCGUAAAGGGAGCGUAGGCGGACAUUUAAGUCAGGGGUGAAAUCCCGGGGCUCAACCUCGGAAUUGCCUUUGAUACUGGGUGUCUUGAGUAUGAGAGAGGUAUGUGGAACUCCGAGUGUAGAGGUGAAAUUCGUAGAUAUUCGGAAGAACACCAGUGGCGAAGGCGACAUACUGGCUCAUUACUGACGCUGAGGCUCGAAAGCGUGGGGAGCAAACAGGAUUAGAUACCCCGGUAGUCCCUGUCUCUUAUAC
rnacentral:rRNA from 1 species